rnacentral:rRNA from 1 species
ACUCCUACGGGGAGGGCAGCAGUGGGGAAUAUUGGGACAAUGGGGGGAAACCCUGAUCCAGCCAUGCCGCGUGUGUGAAGAAGGCCUUCGGGGUUGUAAAGCACUUUUCAGUGGGGAGGAAAGGUUGUUGGUUAAUACCUAACAGCUGUGACGUUACCCACAGAAGAAGCACCGGCUAACUCCGUGCCAGCAGCCGCGGUAAUACGGAGGGUGCAAGCGUUAAUCGGAAUUACUGGGCGUAAAGCGUGCGCAGGCGGUCUGUUAAGCGAGAUGUGAAAGCCCCGGGCUCAACCUGGGAACUGCAUUUCGAACUGGCAGACUAGAGUCUUGUAGAGGGGGUAGAAUUCCAGGUGUAGCGGUGAAAUGCGUAGAGAUCUGGAGGAAUACCGGUGGCGAAGGCGGCCCCUGGACAAAGACUGACGCUCAGGCACGAAAGCGUGGGGAGCAAACAGGAUUAGAUACCCU